rnacentral:sRNA from 1 species
GGGGAACUGUACAGGUUCAGCCUUUUAUUUUACCGCAUCAUUCAAAAGUAACUCCGCUUGAAUACGAGAGGUAUGGGACGGAAGA